UUGACGGAGAGUUUGAUCCUGGCUCAGGACGAACGCUGGCGGAGUGCUUCAUACAUGCAAGUCGAACGGACACCAUCCAGUAGCAAUACUGGUGAAGUGUUAGUGGCGAACGGGUGAGUAACACGUGAGGAACCUGCCCCGAACUCUGGGAUAACAGGCGGAAACGCCUGCUAAUACCGGAUAGCACCAGUGGACCGCAUGGUCUGCUGAUGAAAGUUUUUCGGUUCGGGAUGGUCUCGCGGCCUAUCAGCUAGUUGGUGGGGUAA
rnacentral:rRNA from 1 species